GUUGAAGUAGCAAAGAGGUAAAUGCGAGAAUCCUAAGAUUUCUUUAUCAAGGGUUCAAUUCCCUUCUUCAAUU
rnacentral:tRNA from 12 species